ensembl:lncRNA
UUUUUCUCUAGGAAGCUUGCGGACCGUGUUUUCUAGUGGCAGAAUCGUUUUGUCUGGGGAAGUGAUGGGACUGGCACUCUCAGGGACAAGUCAUCCCCCAUUCCUGGGGAGUGGAAAGAUUCUUCAGUGCAGGGAAGAGUGUGCUCCUGACCAGACUUCCAAGAGUAUCUGACCCGUUUCCCAGAGACCCAGCUUUUUUGCCUUCUUUCAGCUGCUCUUCCUGAGACCAAGUUAGAAGUUGGGAGUGGGAAAUCCUUCACUGCCUAAACCUAUACUUCACAAAAAUAUUUCUGGUCUUGCAAAACACAUGGAGGCACUUACUAUUUUAAAUCUCUGCCUACAGCAAGAGUGUAAGGUAAUCUCAUUCAUAUUUGUGGAACAAAUCCAGUUACAGAUCUUCCAUAACGAAGAAAGAAAGCUACAGGAAUUGCCGACUGUGUAUGUCAAACUGCUGCCAGACCCGUGUGUGGUAACGCAUUUAUCACAUUCAGAAAAGCAUUUCAAUAAACAACAACAGCAGCAGCAACAGGAGAUGGAUGUCCUAAGACAGAGAAUAGCACAUUCAGCAGGAAAAGAGGUUUCAUCUGGAGGUCAACUUAACAAGAGGUGUCAUGGGAACAAUAACUUGGAGUCUGUCUUUGAUCAAUCGCUUAUGUGGAGCUACUUCAUUUCCCUUUCAAAGAACAAUCUCCCUUGAGUCUGAGAGACCCCAUGUGUCACCUGAGGCAAACCCCUGCUAGGUCAAGGGACUGCCACCCUGGGGCAUACUCUCGAUCACAAGACUGGAGAGGUGCCUGCCUAAAAUGAACUGGGGUGGAUGGUAGAACCAGAGCAGCCACAGAAGCAUGGAUAUCCCAGAUGAGAAGAUGCCCGUGCCUGUCCCCGUUCAAGUGGUCUGAGGCAUUUCUGUUGUGUAGGUGGGUGUCCAUGUGUAAAUUAAAGACCCAAACCAUGCACUGAAAGGCUUACAGCCCACUGAAACAUGACUAUUAAUCAGAUUAAAGUUAAGCAUAGGAGACACUGAAUAAGUAGUGAGACCCGUGACGUUAGCUGUGGAUACAAGAAAGGGGAAGUGUGAGUAUCAGCUGAUGAUAAAAACAGAAUUAUCAGGACCUGUUGUCUGCAGUCAUUUGGAAGCUCUAAAUUGUGUUCAUGGAUGAAAAGCAGUGUGAAAAAUUCCCUCUUGUUCAUUACUCACAGGGGAGGAAGUUUUGCAAAGAUUGCCAAAACCUACAUUAGAAAACUUGAUGUACCCUAACAUAAGUAAAAAGCUCAAUUUGAUGUUUAUAGUUCACUAAUCUGUAAUGAUUUCCACAGCAAACAGUGGUAUCAAAAGUACAAGGCUAUGAUGAAA